AGAGCUGACAAGAAAACCGAUCGAUAGAAGGAUGCUGUGUGUAACGCUGGACAGGUAGGAGUUCUUCAAUGUGUGCGAGUGUGUGUGUCUGUCGGUAUUCUCAUGUCCGAUGAGCUGAGUUUAUUAUUCGCUUAAUUAAUAACACAUAGUGUGUGUUGAAUUCCACUUUCCAGUAUAUCUUUUUUUUUUUUUGGUUAUUUAUAAAGGAAUCAAUACUAUGCUGCAGUAUGCGAUAAACAUGUGUCGGACCGUUCUGGAGCGUUCAACAGCGACAGUAGUUCCUACAGCAUAUUAGAUUAGUCCGGGUCUCCAUUUCUCUGUUGUGCCCAUACAUUCAACACUUACCUUUACGGCUGUGUAAAUCAUUUCUUUAAAGCGGGUUAAAUGUAAAAAAAAAAUUGAGAUUGAGAUCGCAAGACAUCUUUAUGCAGCAUUUUUAUAGUUGCACAAAGAUCCAUAUUUCUUCUGUGCAGGUAGUAUGAUCGAUUGAAUUCCAUCGCAUUCAAAUGGAUGAAAUCGCUGACGAGUUGUCCCCUGAUAAUGAAUUGCACCAGAGAAUCAAUCAGGAAAUGUUGGCUAUCCAAUGCUCAGACAUAUUGGUCGACGCUGUUGAAAACCACAUUGAAUGCAUAUGGAAGACGAUUGAAAAAUUAAAGAGGCAAAAAAAGAGACCUAUGGUUAUCGUUGAUACGCUAGUAGAUGAUAACAUAAAGAACCUUACAGAAAAUGUACUUUGUUUGCUGUUCAAACAUAAAGAAAAACUAGUAACCUUGGCUGGACCUUCAUCACAAAACGUCCGGAAUUUCCUGUCCAUUGUGUGGGUGGGGACUGACUCAUCUGCUCGGCUCUGUCACCAGUUUGUCUGCUCGUCAAUCUUUGUUCAGAAUACAUCCCAGCUUCUAGACUUUCUGAAUAAUACCACCACGAGUGAUGUCGUACAGUUUGUGAUUAAGUUCAUUCUGGGCUGUUGGCAUAACUGUCUUAGACACGUGACCUCAGCUGCUGUAAUUCACUUCAAAGAAUUCAAACUAGCAGACAUUAUCCAAAAUACAAUUGAAAAGUUCAAUGAUCAACAAAUGAUUCUAGCCAAAGGCAUCAUUGUACUGUCGUAUUUGCUCACAGACGAUCAAAAGAAUGACAAAAUUCUGGAGAACAAGGUUGUUGGGUUCAUAGUUCAAAUUUUGAAGCAGGCCUCGAUAUCGGAGGACGGUUUGUCUCGUAGACAUGGAAUGAGUGUCCUUGAGGUUCUCCGUGGAAUCCACAACCUGUCCAUCAACGACAACAAUAAGGAGCAAAUAGUCACAUCCGGGGCUCUGCCGAUCUUAGUGGAAAUAAUGAAAAAGAGGCGAGAGACGGGAGAAGUAUUAGAAACACUCAUGAUUAUCUGGAGACUUUCUUUCCUGAAUCAAAUAUUUUCCAAAAUCAUAUCCGAGCCUGACUUAAUAAAUGGUAAGCAUUUCUUGUUAUUGUUUGUUAUCUUCCAUCUUUAAAAGGUUUUUUCCCAACAAUUUUGAUGCAGCUUUGUCUAUGAAUAAACUCAUUUGAAAAAUAUUUUGCUUUACUACUAUGCAAAAGUUUGAGUAUGUGUUUCAGUAAUGAUUUUAAUCCUUAGCUAUAGAAAGCCUCAAAUUCGACACUGAUGAAAGAAUCCGACACUCGGCUACUGGUGCAUUAUGGGAAAUAAAACAGCGCAAUUCUAAGAUGCCAAUUCCUUUUGGUAAUGCUCAUGAAUGAGAUUAAGUUGAAAUAAAUUUCCCAUUUGCUGAAUUAGUUUCGCGUUUUAAAGAACAAGAAAACUACUGAAAAACAAAUAGUGUACCGGUUUAUGUUAAACAUAUACAUGUAUGUAUAAUUUAAAAGGAGACUGCCGACCCCAUGUGAUGAUAAGUUACCAAUGGGAUUCCCAGUCAACGAUGCUAAAGGUCAAGGAAUCCUUAAAAGAGGCGGGCUUUAAAGUAUGGAUGGACGUCGAAAACAUAAGUCAGUGAUCACAUUUCACUGCUGGUUAUGAAAACGAUUUGAUAUAUUUUUCACUUUGAGUUAAAAAUUUCAAACUGCGUGAUAACAAUGUAUUCCUUGAGUUUCUAGGUGGUUCCACGUUAGAAGCUAUGUCCUUGGCCAUUGAGAAUGCGGCAGUGGUGCUGAUUGGUAUGUCCAAGAAAUACAAGGAAAGUCCAAACUGUAGAUCAGGUAAUGGCCGCGUCUUACGUUGUUUCCUCAGAUAUCAGAGUCGUUUAAUUAAUUUUCAAGAUUCUAAAUUAUGU
rnacentral:misc_RNA from 1 species